ensembl:lncRNA
CAAGGCAUGUAAAACAGAUCUGUGUUGGCAAUAUACAGUACAGUUCUUUAAGCCAGUUUGUUGCGUUCUCGACAUGCAGAGCGCAUUGAUACUAGAUGUAGAAGUUGCUCAUGGUUAUUCUCUAUUUCUGGAAGUUCCUAUCAACAAGGAAAUGUUUCUUGUACAGAUAUUUUAAAAUGUGAAACAUUUUCUAACUGCCUUGUAUGGUAGAAACUUACUUUUCAGAACAGUGUAUCUCUCAUUCACUAUUCUUUUUACUAUCCCAUUCUUGAUGCUGAAUACCUAUAUGUAAUUUUGUCCAUGUUGCAGAAAAAGGAGGCUGUAUUACCACCAGUUUUCAUUUAGUAUUGUACAGUUAAACUGUUGCUCUUGUUUCUGAUGUUGCAAGCCAUUUUGUUUUCAUUGUAUAUAAAGAAACAUUAACUGUCUCUUUAAGAUGCUGCUGAAAUUGUAGAGAAUGUAGCCAAAACAGUAAUAAACAAUGACAGUUGAAAUUUCAAGGUUCUCAUUGUGUUCCUUUGCAUUUCAACAAAGGUGAAUCAGCUCACCAUAUCGCUGAGCUAUGCUUAGCUAUUUAAAGCAAAUGCUCUUCAAUUACAAACAGAAGGCCAAUAAUAAUUAAAGUAACAUUGGAGGUGUAAGGGGAGGAUUCCAUGGAACUUGAAUCUAUCAUAAUGACAUGUGUCAUAAUGAAGUAACGAAAGCAUCGUUUCACUGAAUAGACCUCACAGUAACAACUUCAAGUAUUUCAACAGGUCCUUCUAGAGUUAUUUAACUGUAGAAUAAGAUUAGCUUGUAGAAUAAAAUUAGACUCAAAUAUUCUUUCUGCCUUUUAUUCAUCAGAGUACUGGGACUGCAUCCCUUCCAUCCUCCACAGUGUGAGAUCAGGUCCAUGGUUCAAGGGAGGAGAACGUGCCAUAGCUACGUCUGCGUUAGUGCGUUUGGUGCCUGGUAUUCAGCAAGUUGUGCAUGGGAUAGAGUACCCUAGAGACUGAGUCCAGAGGCCCAAAUUACUGGUGCUUGUGGAGCAAUGCUGAUCCUCACCCAGGCUUGCAGCUGUGGCUCAUUGGCAGCUGGCAGAGCUUUCAUCACUGAUUAGAGCACUGGAAUACCUUCCUUGCAUGCCCUUCCAUUGCAAAGCCAGGUAAGUAGCAUAUAAUUUGGAAAACUACACAUGCGCACUUGCCUACAGUGAAUUUGCCUUUAUUAUUCCAUUUGUUAAAUGUCAACUCGUGUACAUUUAUAUGGUACCACGAAAUUCUCAUGUUGCUUGCAGGGUUACAUAAGGAUAUAUCAGAUGCUGAGCCUGAUCUCAUAAAUUGUAUUCUCAGAGCUAUCAGAUAUCAGGACAGUUUCAUUACUGAGCUCAAACACAUUCCAAUCUAGCAAAUUAGCAUAUCGUAAGUUAUCAUCCUAUCACCCGAUUAACAAAACCUGUACAGAUAAAAUAGAAUUACUGCUCUCUCAUCCUUCAUCAUCUGUAAGAAUUCUUGUGUUUUUAAUGAACCUCAGCCUUUUCCACUUAUAUUAAUACCUUAGUGUAUUGAUAAUAUCAAAACCUUAAUGAAUAGAUAGCAUGUUAAACAAAACAUGGUUCUAAUGGUGAAAACUGUAAAGAUUGGGAUUUUUUUAUCCUCAUCUCAGAGACAACUGUGAGGAAAUCAGCUGAAUUACAUUGAGAUAGCUUUUCUACUUUGGGGCAUACUUUGAUGUGCUCUGUUAACAUCAGGCAGCGAUAUGAAGGUCUCUUUUUUAUUUAGUGAGUCAGGACAUGUUUUUCUCCUUCCAGGUUUUGCAAAAGAUUACUUAGGUUGCAAAGGAUUUUGCUAGUUUUGUGCUAAGGAGCAACACAGAUGGGGCACAGAGAUCAUGAAGAAAAGCCAGUAUGAGCCAUUCAUAUUUGAAACUGGGGGAAAGCAAGUAGGAGUCAGCUGGGCAAGGCUCCAGACGGAUGGUGUGACUGAAAUGACGCUUCAGCUGUGCUCACUUAGAUAACUUGCUGUAUGUCCGGAACACUUUCAGACUCAGCCACUAUGCAACUGGGUGGAUAU